rnacentral:rRNA from 2 species
GUUUGAUGUUCUAACGUGGACCCGUGAUCCGGGUUGCGGACAGUGUCUGGUGGGUAGUUUGACUGGGGCGGUCUCCUCCUAAAGAGUAACGGAGGAGCACGAAGGUUGGCUAAUCCUGGUCGGACAUCAGGAGGUUAGUGCAAUGGCAUAAGCCAGCUUGACUGCGAGCGUGACGGCGCGAGCAGGUGCGAAAGCAGGUCAUAGUGAUCCGGUGGUUCUGAAUGGAAGGGCCAUCGCUCAACGGAUAAAAGGUACUCCGGGGAUAACAGGCUGAUACCGCCCAAGAGUUCAUAUCGACGGCGGUGUUUGGCACCUCGAUGUCGGCUCAUCACAUCCUGGGGCUGAAGUAGGUCCCAAGGGUAUGGCUGUUCGCCAUUUAAAGUGGUACGCGAGCUGGGUUUAGAACGUCGUGAGACAGUUCGGUCCCUAUCUGCCGUGGGCGCUGGAGAACUGAGGGGGGCUGCUCCUAGUACGAGAGGACCGGAGUGGACGCAUCACUGGUGUUCGGGUUGUCAUGCCAAUGGCACUGCCCGGUAGCUAAAUGCGGAAGAGAUAAGUGCUGAAAGCAUCUAAGCACGAAACUUGCCCCGAG